rnacentral:lncRNA from 1 species
GUGUGUAUAUGUAACACUAGCUAGGGUUGCCUUUAAUGUUAAGAGGAGAGGUUAUGCAUGGUUUCUUCUUUUGCUACAUAAUGGUGGAAGUGGAAAUGUUUGUGAAAGAUGGAUUUGGAAGAAGAGAGGGUAACCAGAAAUGGAACAAAGGACAAGUUUCCAAACUAGUGAAAGAAAAACAAUGUCUUCACUAAAACAUAGGUGUUGUGUUCUUAGGAG